rnacentral:rRNA from 1 species
UACGUAGGGUGCGAGCGUUGUCCGGAUUUAUUGGGCGUAAAGAGCGUGUAGGCGGCCUAGGUAGGUCCGGUGUGAAAAACUCCGGAGGCUUAACCUCGAGAUGUCAUCGGAAACCAUCUGGCUAGAGUCCGGAAGAGGGAGAGUGGAAUUCCUGGUGUAGCGGUGAAAUGCGCAGAUAUCAGGAAGAACACCGAUGGCGAAAGCAGCUCUCUGGGCCACUACUGACGCUGAGAAGCGAAAGCAUGGGGAGCGAACAGG